GAACCUGCGGAAGGAUCAUUACAGUAGUCGCCCGGGUUGCCGCAAGGCCUCCCGGGUAACCUACCACCCUUUGUUUAUUACACUUUGUUGCUUUGGCAGGCCUGCCCUCGGGCUGCUGGCUCCGGCCGGCGAGCGCCUGCCAGAGGACCUAAACUCUGUUUGUCUAUACUGUCUGAGUACUAUAUAAUAGUUAAAACUUUCAACAACGGAUCUCUUGGUUCUGGCAUCGAUGAAGAACGCAGCGAAAUGCGAUAAGUAAUGUGAAUUGCAGAAUUCAGUGAAUCAUCGAAUCUUUGAACGCACAUUGCGCCCCCUGGUAUUCCGGGGGGCAUGCCUGUCCGAGCGUCAUUACAACCCUCAAGCUCAGCUUGGUGUUGGGCCCCGCCGCCCCGGCGGGCCCUAAAGUCAGUGGCGGUGCCGUCCGGCUCCGAGCGUAGUAAUUCUUCUCGCUCUGGAGGUCCGGUCGUGUGCUCGCCAGCAACCCCCAAUUUUUUUCAGGUUGACCUCGGAUCAGGUAGGGAUACCCGCUGAACUUAAGCAUAUCAAUA
rnacentral:rRNA from 1 species